GAUGAACGCUGGCGGCGUGCCUAAUACAUGCAAGUCGAGCGAACGGACGAGAAGCUUGCUUCUCUGAUGUUAGCGGCGGACGGGUGAGUAACACGUGGAUAACCUACCUAUAAGACUGGGAUAACUUCGGGAAACCGGAGCUAAUACCGGAUAAUAUUUUGAACCGCAUGGUUCAAAAGUGAAAGACGGUCUUGCUGUCACUUAUAGAUGGAUCCGCGCUGCAUUAGCUAGUUGGUAAGGUAACGGCUUACCAAGGCAACGAUGCAUAGCCGACCUGAGAGGGUGAUCGGCCACACUGGAACUGAGACACGGUCCAGACUCCUACGGGAGGCAGCAGUAGGGAAUCUUCCACAAUGGGCGAAAGCCUGACGGAGCAACGCCGCGUGAGUGAUGAAGGUCUUCGGAUCGUAAAACUCUGUUAUUAGGGAAGAACAUAUGUGUAAGUAACUGUGCACAUCUCGACGGUACCUAAUCAGAAAGCCACGGCUAACUACGUG
rnacentral:rRNA from 1 species